UGCUGAAAUCGAAGGAAACUGGGUUCCACAGAAGCUCAUUGUGGAGGCUUGUCCUUCUGAAGAGAUGACCAUUAGAUGAACAGCCAGUGAAAACAGGAAUCUCUAGUUACUUUUCUAGCCAUCCUGCUCUGAAUAUGGGACACAGUCCCAUGUUUCCUUUUGAUCUGGUUCCACCUGAGAAAUGGCUGUGGGACUCUGACCUGCCCUCUCUUCCACGGGCCUGCUCCAGCUCUCUUGUGUUCAACAGCAACCUUUCCAUUGACAUCAGCAGAGAUCUCCCAGGGCUCUGUGGAUUAUAAGGACCCAACACUGUGAACCAAACUCAGCUUUUCAGUAAUCUGAGCUCAGAAAAAUGAAGGUCAGUCGUGGGAGGAGAGAAAACUGCUGAGAACACAUCGAAAGGCAAAAGGUUUAAACCUCUGGCUCAUGGUAUCUUCCAGGAAAUCCACCACCAUAUUGUUUGCAGUGAUUAAA